rnacentral:rRNA from 1 species
GACGAACGCUGGCGGCGUGCUUAACACAUGCAAGUCGAACGGAAAGGCCCUGCUUUUGUGGGGUGUUCGAGUGGCGAACGGGUGAGUAACACGUGAGUAACCUGCCCUUGACUUUGGGAUAACUUCAGGAAACUGGUGCUAAUACUGGAUAGGAGCUCCUGCUGCAUGGUGGGGGUUGGAAAGUUUCGGCGGUUGGGGAUGGACUCGCGGCUUAUCAGCUUGUUGGUGGGGUAGUGGCUUACCAAGGCUUUGACGGGUAGCCGGCCUGAGAGGGUGACCGGCCACAUUGGGACUGAGAUACGGCCCAGACUCCUACGGGAGGCAGCAGUGGGGAAUAUUGCACAAUGGGCGGAAGCCUGAUGCAGCAACGCCGCGUGCGGGAUGACGGCCUUCGGGUUGUAAACCGCUUUCGCCUGUGACGAAGCGUGAGUGACGGUAAUGGGUAAAGAAGCACCGGCUAACUACGUG